CACGUAGGGCGCAAGCGUUGUCCGGAAUUAUUGGGCGUAAAGAGCUCGUAGGCGGUCUGUUGCGUCCGCUGUGAAAACUCGGGGCUUAACCCCGGGCCUGCAGUGGGUACGGGCAGACUAGAGUGCGGUAGGGGAGACUGGAAUUCCUGGUGUAGCGGUGAAAUGCGUAGAUAUCUGCAGGAACACCCGUGGCGAAAGCGGCGCGCUGGACCACUACUGACGCUGAGGAACGAAAGCUAGGGGAGCAAACAGG
rnacentral:rRNA from 1 species